UACGAAGGGUGCUAGCGUUGUUCGGAAUUACUGGGCGUAAAGAGUUCGUAGGCGGUUAUACAAGUCAGAGGUGAAAUCCCAGAGCUUAACUCUGGAACUGCCUUUGAAACUGUAUAGCUGGAGUAUGUGAGGGGAUAGCGGAAUUCCUAAUGUAGAGGUGAAAUUCGUAGAUAUUAGGAGGAACACCGGUGGCGAAGGCGGCUAUCUGGCACAUUACUGACGCUGAGGAACGAAAGCGUGGGGAUCAAACAGG
rnacentral:rRNA from 1 species